GAUGAACGCUGGCGGCGUGCCUAAUACAUGCAAGUCGAGCGAACGGACGAGAAGCUUGCUUCUCUGAUGUUAGCGGCGGACGGGUGAGUAACACGUGGAUAACCUACCUAUAAGACUGGGAUAACUUCGGGAAACCGGAGCUAAUACCGGAUAAUAUUUUGAACCGCAUGGUUCAAAAGUGAAAGACGGUCUUGCUGUCACUUAUAGAUGGAUCCGCGCUGCAUUAGCUAGUUGGUAAGGUAACGGCUUACCAAGGCAACGAUGCAUAGCCGACCUGAGAGGGUGAUCGGCCACACUGGAACUGAGACACGGUCCAGACUCCUACGGGAGGCAGCAGUAGGGGAUCUUCCGCAAUGGGCGAAAGCCUGACGGAGCAACGCCGCGUGAGUGAUGAAGGUCUUCGGAUCGUAAAACUCUGUUAUUAGGGAAGAACAUAUGUGUAAGUAACUGUGCACAUCUUGACGGUACCUAAUCAGAAAGCCACGGCUAACUACGUGCCAGCAGCCGCGGUAAUACGUAGGUGGCAAGCGUUAUCCGGAAUUAUUGGACGUAAAGCGCGCGUAGGCGGUUUUUUAAGUCUGAUGUGAAAGCCCACGGCUCAACCGUGGAGGGUCAUUGGAAACUGGAAAACUUGAGUGCAGAAGAGGAAAGUGGAAUUCCAUGUGUAGCGGUGAAAUGCGCAGAGAUAUGGAGGAACACCAGUGGCGAAGGCGACUUUCUGGUCUGUAACUGACGCUGAUGUGCGAAAGCGUGGGGAUCAAACAGGAUUAGAUACCCUGGUAGUCCACGCCGUAAACGAUGAGUGCUAAGUGUUAGGGGGUUUCCGCCCCUUAGUGCUGCAGCUAACGCAUUAAGCACUCCGCCUGGGGAGUACGACCGCAAGGUUGAAACUCAAAGGAAUUGACGGGGACCCGCACAAGCGGUGGAGCAUGUGGUUUAAUUCGAAGCAACGCGAAGAACCUUACCAAAUCUUGACAUCCUUUGACAACUCUAGAGAUAGAGCCUUCCCCUUCGGGGGACAAAGUGACAGGUGGUGCAUGGUUGUCGUCAGCUCGUGUCGUGAGAUGUUGGGUUAAGUCCCGCAACGAGCGCAACCCUUAAGCUUAGUUGCCAUCAUUAAGUUGGGCACUCUAAGUUGACUGCCGGUGACAAACCGGAGGAAGGUGGGGAUGACGUCAAAUCAUCAUGCCCCUUAUGAUUUGGGCUACACACGUGCUACAAUGGACAAUACAAAGGGCAGCGAAACCGCGAGGUCAAGCAAAUCCCAUAAAGUUGUUCUCAGUUCGGAUUGUAGUCUGCAACCCGACUACAUGAAGCUGGAAUCGCUAGUAAUCGUAGAUCAGCAUGCUACGGUGAAUACGUUCCCGGGUCU
rnacentral:rRNA from 1 species